CUAAUUCAGAAAACAAGCCAGUCUGUAAGUGUUUCGAAGAUAGAGAUAAAAUGCCUAAAGAGUUUGCGCAUAAAAUUCUUGAAGAAGUUAAAAAAGCUGUGGAAUGCGAUGUGCCUCCUGCUAGUGUAGAGGAGUUAUUUCGUAGUUUGCGCAUUAAUCAAGAGAUUUUUGAGAUGGCUUAUAGGCGUUUAGAGAAGAAGCACAAGGUAGUCUAUAGGAGAGGGGUGAACGAGGUUUGGGUCAAUCAGUAUAGCAAGAAGUUGUUGAAGUGCUGGAACGCUAACAUGGACAUUAGCUUUGUCACCGACGCCUACGCAGUAGUGAUAUACAUAAUAUCGUAUAUUACGAAAGCAGAGAGAGAAAUUGGCCUGUUAUUGACUAAUGCCCAAAAAGAAGCAAAAAAACAAGGGAAUCUCUCUGCUAAAGAAGCCCUGCGGAAGCUGGGCAGUGUAUAUUUACACAAUAGGGAUGUUUGUGCGCAGGAGGCGGUGUAUAGGCUAACGAACAUGCACCUUAGGGAGUGUUCCAGAAAGGUUGUGUUUGUGCCGACAGGCAGUAGAAUAGUUAGAAUGAGUUUGCCCCUCAGUGUGUUGAGGCAGAUGGCGGCCUCCCGUGAUCUACGGGAGGAGGAUAUGUUUAUGAUUAGUAUAGUAGAUAGGUAUAGGAAUAGGCCUGACAGCGUAGUGUUUGAUAACAUGUGUAUGGCUACCUUUGCAUCUGAGUAUCGUGUUCUCAGCAAAAAUGAGAUGUCUAAAGACAGAAUUGAACUGAAGAAUGACUUAGGAUUCAUUCUUAGGAGAACACGCACUCAGUUUGCAGUGGUGCGAUACAUGCGUUUUAAUUUGGAUAGAGAGGAGGAGGCACAUUUUCAGAGCCUGUUGCAGUUGUUUCUUCCUUAUAGAACUGACUCAGACCUCAAACCUGAUGGCUUUGAGCUGUUUGAGCAGUUCUAUAACGAUGGUGAGGUGUUGUUUAGCGACGGCUCUGUACAUUCGGUUAGUGAUGUUGUUGAUGAGAAUAGGGCCAGGUUUGAGGUCAAUUGUCCUCACCUUGAGUUAGCUCAGGAGAUAGCUGCGCAAAACAACGGUGUAGAUGAGGAUGUUUGGGGUGAGCUUUGUCCUGAACAGGAAGCGGAACGCCUAGAAGGUUUAGAGGAGAUGAGG
rnacentral:lncRNA from 1 species